rnacentral:rRNA from 1 species
UACGUAGGUCCCGAGCGUUGUCCGGAUUUAUUGGGCGUAAAGCGAGCGCAGGUGGUUUAUUAAGUCUGGUGUAAAAGGCAGUGGCUCAACCAUUGUAUGCAUUGGAAACUGGUAGACUUGAGUGCAGGAGAGGAGAGUGGAAUUCCAUGUGUAGCGGUGAAAUGCGUAGAUAUAUGGAGGAACACCGGUGGCGAAAGCGGCUCUCUGGCCUGUAACUGACACUGAGGCUCGAAAGGGUGGGGAGCAAACAGG